UGAUUAUGGCUCAGGAUGAACGCUAGCGGCAGGCUUAAUACAUGCAAGUCGAGGGGCAGCAUGACUGUAGCAAUACAGUUGAUGGCGACCGGCAAACGGGUGCGGAACACGUACAGAACCUUCCUUCGAGCGGGGAAUAGCCCAGAGAAAUUUGGAUUAAUACCCCAUAGCAUAACGGAGUGGCAUCACUCUGUUAUUAAAGAUUUAUCACUUGAAGAUGGCUGUGCGGCUGAUUAGGUAGUUGGCGGGGUAACGGCCCACCAAGCCUGCGAUCAGUAACUGGUGUGAGAGCACGACCAGUCACACGGGCACUGAGACACGGGCCCGACUCCUACGGGAGGCAGCAGUAAGGAAUAUUGGUCAAUGGACGAAAGUCUGAACCAGCCAUGCCGCGUGGAGGAUGAAGGUCCUCUGGAUUGUAAACUUCUUUUAUAUGGGACGAAAAAAGGCUUUUCUAAGUCGUCUGACGGUACCAUAUGAAUAAGCACCGGCUAACUCCGUGCCAGCAGCCGCGGUAAUACGGAGGGUGCAAGCGUUAUCCGGAUUCACUGGGUUUAAAGGGUGCGUAGGUGGGUUGGUAAGUCAGUGGUGAAAUCUCCGAGCUUAACUUGGAAACUGCCAUUGAUACUAUCAGUCUUGAAUAUUGUGGAGGUUAGCGGAAUAUGUCAUGUAGCGGUGAAAUGCUUAGAUAUGACAUAGAACACCAAUUGCGAAGGCAGCUGGCUACACAUAUAUUGACACUGAGCACGAAAGCGUGGGGAUCAAACAGGAUUAGAUACCCUGGUAGUCCACGCCCUAAACUAUGGAUACUCGACAUACGCGAUAAACUGUGUGUGUCUGAGCGAAAGCAUUAAGUAUCCCACCUGGGAAGUACGAUCGCAAGAUUGAAACUCAAAUGAAUUGACG
rnacentral:rRNA from 1 species